rnacentral:lncRNA from 1 species
AGCCAUUUUAGAUCCGAUUUUGGUGAUUUUUGAGGCUAUCUUGAGUGGUUUUUCGAGGAGAACAUUGUGGUGUUGUUAGAUUUUACUGUAGACCGCUCGUUUUUGGUAAAUACACUACUGUCCCAUUUCUAUUUUUGAGAAAAUUUGGGUUUUAGUUGCAUGUUGAUAUUGUGUUGUUCCCGAGCCCCGAAUUGUGUCCCAUUUUGGGACAUGAGCUGGGAAAACUGGUUAGGACCCACUUUUG